rnacentral:rRNA from 1 species
UACGAAGGGGGCUAGCGUUGCUCGGAAUGACUGGGCGUAAAGGGCGCGUAGGCGGCUCAUACAGUCAGGCGUGAAAUUCCUGGGCUCAACCUGGGGACUGCGCUUGAGACGUGUGGGCUUGAGUGGGGAAGAGGGUCGUGGAAUUCCCAGUGGUAGAGGUGAAAUUCGUAGAUAUUGGGAAGAACACCGGUGGCGAAGGCGGCGACCUGGUCCUUGACUGACGCUGAGGCGCGAAAGCGUGGGGAGCAACCAGG